rnacentral:rRNA from 1 species
CAGCCGCCGCGGUAAUACGGAGGGUGCAAGCGUUAAUCGGAAUUACUGGGCGUAAAGCGUGCGUAGGCGGUUUACUAAGUCAGAUGUGAAAGCCCCGGGCUUAACCUGGGAACUGCAUUUGAUACUGGUAGGCUAGAGUAUGAUAGAGGGGGGUAGAAUUCCUGGUGUAGCGGUGAAAUGCGUAGAUAUCAGGAGGAAUACCAGUGGCGAAGGCGGCCCCCUGGAUCAAUACUGACGCUGAGGUACGAAAGCGUGGGUAGCGAACAGGAUUAGAUACCCUGGUAGUCCACGCUGUAAACGAUGAGAACUAGCCGUUGGGGCCUUGAGGCUUCAGUGGCGCAGCUAACGCGUGAAGUUCUCCGCCUGGGGACUACGGCCGCAAGGCUAAAACUCAAAUGAAUUGACGGGGGCCCGCACAAGCGGUGGAGCAUGUGGUUUAAUUCGAUGCAACGCGAAGAACCUUACCACCCCUUGACAUCAUCAGAACUUGUUAGAGAUGACUCGGUGCCUUCGGGAACUGAUUGACAGGUGCUGCAUGGCUGUCGUCAGCUCGUGUCGUGAGAUGUUGGGUUAAGUCCCGCAACGAGCGCAACCCUUGUCCUUAGUUGCCAGCACGUAAUGGUGGGAACUCUAAGGAGACUGCCGGUGAUAAACCGGAGGAAGGUGGGGAUGACGUCAAGUCAUCAUGGCCCUAUGGGGUGGGCUACACACGUGCUACAAUGGUCGGUACAAAGGGUUGCCAAGUCGCAAGACGGAGCUAAUCCCACAAAGCCGAUCGUAGUCCGGAUUGGGGUCUGCAACUCGACCCCAUGAAGUCGGAAUCGCUAGUAAUCGCGAAUCAGAAUGUCGCGGUGAAUACGUUCCCGGGCCUUGUACACACCGCCCGUCACACCAUGGGAGUGGGCUGCAAAAGAAGUAGGUAGCUUAACCUUCGGGAGGGCGCUUACCACUUUGUGGUUCAUGACUGGGGUGAAGUCGUAACAAGGUAACCGUA